rnacentral:rRNA from 1 species
UACAGGGGGGGCAAGCGUUGUUCGGAAUUACUGGGCGUAAAGGGUUCGUAGGUGGCCACUUAAGUCAGACGUGAAAUCCCUCAGCUUAACUGGGGAACUGCGUCCGAUACUGGUUGGCUUGAGUUUGGGAGAGGGAUGCGGAAUUCCAGGUGUAGCGGUGAAAUGCGUAGAUAUCGGGAGGAACACCAGUGGCGAAGGCGGCUUCCUGGCCUGUUCUUGACGCUGAGGCGCGAAAGCUAGGGGAGCAAACGGG